rnacentral:lncRNA from 1 species
CAGUUUCCAGAAAAUUCGGUUCAAUUCCUUCACCACGGACCCACCAACCAAGGAGCUGGCAAAACCCACUAACCAACCAGGAGAACACAGACCCGCCGUUUCCUCUCCCUCGCCGGCCUCGGCGGAGAUUCCAGGCCCUAUAGAAACCAGGACGUCCCUUAGCGCCACCGCCUCACAUGCCAGUGCUGCCGGGAACCCAGCGAUAUCCGCACCAGCGGAGAAGGUUCCAGGCUGCCGGCGGCGGCGCAGAGAGCGGGAAGAGAGGCUCGGAGGAAGCCCCGGGCGUGGCGUGGUCAGGCUCCGAGAGCGGCCGGGAUGCGGCCACACCGGCCUGGUAAACUCGCACCUCUUAGGAUCUUGCUCCCGGACUCAUUCCCUUCCCCACCCCCUAUUUUAAAGUUUUAUUUGGGUCGUCUGUAUCAAUUUAGAACGAGAUAAAUUAAGACAAAGAAAGUAAAAUAAAUCGAAAUAAAAUAUA